GCUACGCCGAAGGCGGGGGCGGGGGCGGGAGGGGGAGUCCUGGAAGGGGGUCGGGCGGGAGGGGAGGAGACGGCAGAGCAGCCAAUCCGCGCGCGGCCCAUCAGCUGACCGCCUUUGCUUACACCAGGUGCACGCCGGCUGCGGGGAGCACAAAGCGGGGCGCACCGAGGGCGCCGGCAGCGAGCGGGGGAGCGAGGCGAGGCCCGUGCGCCCGCGGCUGCAAGCGCCUGUCGGGCGGGGAGAGGGGCCGGCGGCGUCAGCCCGGGCGAUUGCCACCGCGCAGCGGCAUCCCUACUCGCCUGGGGCGCCUUCCUCCGGACCUGGCCGCUCGCUGCCCCGCCCUCUGCACCCCACUUCUCUAACCCUCUUUUCCAAUCCUGCCUGCCCCUGCCCUGGCCUCGAAGAGCUGACUGAGCCCAGCCCCGUGCAGCAGCUGUUGCUUGUGUUGCCGCCUCGCCUCCUGUCUUGGUGCUCUGCCGGGGGUCCCCCGAGGAGCCAGUGCGCGCUGCGGGCUGGGAAGGAGGCGCCUCUCGGCCCGUCCUCCUCCUCCUUCUCCUCCUCCUCCUCGUCGUUCUCCUCCUCCUCCUGCUGCUGCUGCUGCUGCUGCUGCCGCCGCCACGGGUGCCGGGUCCGUGCGCACCCCGACACCCCCACCAGGUGGGCCUCGGGAGAUGAAAUCCUGUUUCUAAUCCAGUCAACCUCCUCACUGCGGGAACCCAAACGAUCGGCAUCUCACCCUCAUCAUAUACACAAUGAGGUUGGAUUAGAUGUGAUAGAUCAUCUCAGGUAUGCUUCCCCUCUAUAAAAUUCUGUGGCUGUACAAGUACUGUAAAUUAGGAAUUUUUCAACUAAUUUCCCUUGGGGCUUACUAGUCUUACAUUGAACCCCCUUCUGGUGCCCUCUAGUUUUCAUCAUUAAUAUUUCAAAUGAUCAUGAAGAACAGAUAAGAUGAUACCAACCCUGAAAAAUGGAAUUUAGUAUUGUGGAUGAUCAAAACCUUUUGAAACAAGGCAGACCUUACAUUAAAUCCCAACUCUGCCAUAUUGGUUAUAUAACCUUGAAAAAGUUAUUUCAGCUCCCCAAGAAUUUGUUUUGUACUUUACAAAAUGAGGCUAAUGAAUAAUAUCUACCUUAAAGUAUUAGUUUCUGAGAACUUGAAUUCUCCUGGCUUCUAGCAGGCAUUCAAUAUUAUAUUAUUUUGUACCCUGAAAGAAUCAUGAAAAUUCAGCUUUAAAUCCUUCUAGAUAUGCUUAACACAUUUUUGACUGAAGAACAUGGCGAGUAUCUCACAGAAAUUUUACCCAAAAAAUCUUGUCUAAUUCAAAAAGCCAAAAAUUAAAGCAACAAGAAGUUACCAAAAUUAUUGCUCUAACUUUGCUACGGGUUGAGCAUCCUUAGUCUGAAAAUCUAAAAUCUGAAUGCUGCAAAAUCCAAAACUUUCUGAGUACCAAUAUGAUGACACAAGUGGAAAAUACCACACCACACCUCAUGUGACAGUUUGCAGUCAAAACCUUUCCAUGGACAAAAUUAUUUAAAAUAUUGUACAAAAUCACCUUUGGCUAUGUGUAUAAUAUGUGUAUAAAACAAAAAUGAACUUCAUGUUUAGACUUGGGUCCCUUCCCUGAGAUAUCUCAUUAUGUAUAUGCAAAUAUUCCAAAUUCUGAAUAAAAUGAAAUCCAAAACACUCUGCUCUCA
rnacentral:lncRNA from 13 species